AAGAAUAUAAACAUUUUUAAGGUGUUUGAUCUUUAUUUCUGAAUUGCUUUACAGAAGGUAGUUCAAACUAUACAGUCUUAUGAACAAUGUUAUUUCAGCAUUCUAAACUUCACUUUAUAGAAAAAAGCUGGCAUAGGUGGCCUGCAAGGUGGCCCCAAUGAUCUGAAGCGAUGGCAUGUGACUUUUGAGGCAAGGGCUGACACAAUUGCAGCUUCUACCUUGUUCUUUCGGACACAUUCUGUGGGAAGCCAGGUGCCAGGUUUGGCAGAUACUCAAACAGCCUGUGGAGAUGCCCAUAUAUGGAAGAAACAAGACUGACAAUGAGAACCAACCUGUUGUGUCACACCUUUUCCUGAACUUUGGCUCAAUUGAAGAAGGAAACUUUCAGGGGAAUUCCAAUAGUAAACAACAGAACCAGCAGUUUUACAAUAAACUGCAGAGCUCCAUUUCAAAACACAAAAAUAGAGCGUCUCUGCAGUGAUGUACUGCCUUAAGGAAGGGUGAUAUGCCUGCUUCCACUUCGCCUUCAGCCAUGAUUGCAAGUUUCCUGACACUUCCCUAGAAGCUGGGCAGAUGCUAGCAGAUGCUUCCUGUACAGCCUACAAAACUAUUUCUGUGGAAAACACGCUUCUGUGCUGUACCUUCCAUUGAGGAUACAGAUAUACUCCUUUUGGCAAAGAGAUAGCAUGAUGAGCUAGACAGAAUUCUGCAACAAUUUGAAAGAUGAUAAAUAUUCACAGAAAGAAAGAAAAGCAAUCCAGGAACAGAGGAAAGUGUGCUGUGCUUAAAGUCAAAGCCAAAGGUGGUUUAAGGUGACCUCCAGGAAAACAUGAGCACUCAAAGAGAGGAAAUUGAUCUUUUCUGUACUGAAGCUAAAAAAUCAAAGGGAACUACAAAAAGUUAGAUGAUUUGAGGCCAUGGCAAUCCUGAAAUAAUCAUCAAGAUACAAUUCUGCAACAGAAGAAAGAAGUGUAGCAUUGAUUCUCUUGCACCUUAAUUAGCGUCAGUGGGACUGAUUCAGGUAAGGUAUCUGUAGCAUUUAACCAAAAGAAAUUUAUCUGUAACUAAAAUAUUUUCACAAAAAUGAAGAGUAGAAGAAUGGUGUUAAGAAAUGCAAAACAAAAUGCUUGAACAUUUCCAGGUGGAAAUUGGUUAGUCCCCAAAUUAUCCCACAACUCACAAGGAAGGCAGAGUUGCUCACAAUUUAACAUUCUCACACCUGAGGCCUUUGGUCAACCAUUCUCUAAAGCUGAAGAAAAACAAACAAAAGCUCCAUCCUAACUGAGUACUGGAGUACUGGAGUCAAUGUUAUUUUCAUCAAUGAAAGGAACUCAUGUCACAGGCGAGGGUUUGCCCUCAACACACUAUAGUCUGGAAACUAGUUCCUUAUUUUUUGAGAUUCACUAAAAAGCCUUUUUCUUUUUCUUUUCCCUUUAUAUUUACUAUUAGCUAUGCAAACCCACAUAGGUCAACAGGACCACAAACCAGAAAUAGAUGAGCCCUAAUGAAAUCAAAGUAGAAAAUCACUGUAUGUUUCAAAUAGCACCCACACCACCGGGAAUGUACUUUUUCAAAAUUCUCUGCUUCUGCCAAGAAAUGCACCAUGGUGUGAAUAAUGAAAAUGAAUAAUGCAAAGCAUAAUGGAGUACACAAUUUGCACAUCAGUCACAGUUUUCCUCCUCAGACUGAUAGACUUCAGAAAUUACAAACAAGACUGUUUAAAAUCCAGACCAACAGGAGCAUUAAAUCGGAACAGAGGCCAGCUGGAUGUGAGAGCCCAUAAGUAAUGGUGCUGUAUUUAGUCAUCUGAAGAGAAAUUAUAAUGGAGAUCCAUAAUAAAUGGUAGGCAACACACCUGACAAGUGAUUGGUUUGGAGAAUACACAUGACAGCAGGAAGAGUUCUUGACUCAGCUCAGCACAACACAUUUUGGAAGUCGCAUGAACCUAACACUUUGACUUAGCAUUUUCAAAGAGCUUGGAAAUAAAAAGUCAAAGAGAUUUUUGAUGAUGAGCAAAGACUUUUCCUGACCUGUGGUCCCCUUCAUUAUAAUCUGGUCAACCACUCCAGCAAGGUUGUGCUCCUUACUUUCUUUGUAUGGUCAGACAGGGAAAGGGCUUUAAUGGUAGAACUUAUUUUAAUCUUAGUGAGAGAGCCAAAAAAAAAAAAAAAAAAAAUCCCAAGAGCUCUGCUAUCAGAGAAUGAAAGUUAAAGCCUUUUCUGAACAAAAUGAAAAAUCCAAAAUAGAUCUUCCACAAUUAAUUAGUUUAUUUUCAUAUAUGACUUAGAAAAUAACUGUCCCCAACUGCUUGUCCCUACAUGUUCUUUCAAACAUGCACUAUAUGCAAUAAGGAAUAUUCCACAUCUGCUCUUAAGAGAAAUGAAUUUAAUUGCUAAGCUGCUAAUGGGGCGUUUUCUCCUGUAGAAUUUCUACCCAUCUGCACACUCUGAUUACCACAUCCUCAUCAGAUCUUGUCUACUUCAACCUUUCUUCCUAAAUGAUCAUCAUUAAUCCCAUCUAUGGUAUCUCUAAAUAUGGGAAAUGAGUCUAGAGUAAUAAUGAUGUCUGAUUAUGUUGCCAUUUUCCGUGGGAAAAGAAAAAAGAUUGAAAUUUCAAACUUCUCUCCCCCACCCCAAAACAAAACAAACAAACAAACCAAAAAAAUCCUCCAAGCUGGAUAGACAAAUCCUAGAACAUGAUGGGAAAAAAAGUCAACUUACAGCUCGAAAUUAUAAAGACAUGCUUGGGAUAAAAAUACCUGAUAGAGAAUUCUGGACUCUUAAGAGAAGCCAUUAAAUUAUUUCUGGAAUGCUAGAAACUUCUCUGUAACUUGUGGCAGAGAAUUACACAAGUAACAUACUUAAGGGAAUCUUCUCACUUCUUUUAAAAGAAUUUUUUAAAACAAAAAUGGGUGAAGGUAUAAUAAACACCAUUUUAAAUUUAGUGUAUCCUUAUCUGCCCUAAACUUUAAGCAUCAUGAAUGAGUUUGAUUCAAUUGGUAUGGUUUUAUGUAUGUAUGUAUAUAUUUAUUUUUAACUUUUAUUUUCAGUGAAGGGGUACAUGUGCAGGUUUGUUAUAUUGGUACACUACAUGGCCUGGGGGUUUGGUGUACAUACUAUUUCAUCACCCAGGUAACAAGCAUAGUACCUGGGAGGUACUUUUUCUGAUCUCUUCCUCCUCCCACCCUCCACUCCAAGUAGGACCCAGUGUCUGUUGUUCACCUCAUAUUGUUCAUGUGUUCUCGUUGUUUAGCUCUUACUUGUAAGUGAGAACAUGUCACAUUUGCUUUGCUGUUACUACAUUAGUUUGCUUAGGAUGAUGGCCUUUGGCUCUUUCCAUGUUGCUGCAAAGGACAUGAUCUCAUUCAUUUUAUGGCCGUAUAAUAUUCCAUGGUGUGUAUGGUAUCACAUUUUAUUUGUCCUGUCUACCAUCGAUGAACAUUUAGGUUGAUUCCAUGUUUUUGCUAUUAUGAAUAGUGCUGUGAUGAACAUAUGCAGGCAUGCAUCUUUAUGGUAGAACAAUUUAUAUUCCUUUGGGUAUAUACCCAAUAAUGGGAUUGCUGGGUUGAAUGGCAAUUCUAAGUUCUUUGAGGAAUCACCACAGAGCUUUGCACAAUGGAUGAACUAAUUUACACUCCUACCAGCAGUAUAUAAAUGUUCCUUUUUCUCUGCAACCUGACCAACAUCUGUUAUUUUUUGACUAUUUAAUAAUAGUAAUUCUGACUGUUAUGAGAUGGCAUCUCAUUGUGG
rnacentral:lncRNA from 1 species